CGGCAGCACGGAGCUUGCUCUGGUGGCGAGUGGCGAACGGGUGAGUAAUAUAUCGGAACGUACCCUAGAGUGGGGGAUAACGUAGCGAAAGUUACGCUAAUACCGCAUACGAUCUAAGGAUGAAAGUGGGGGAUCGCAAGACCUCAUGCUCGUGGAGCGGCCGAUAUCUGAUUAGCUAGUUGGUAGGGUAAAAGCCUACCAAGGCAUCGAUCAGUAGCUGGUCUGAGAGGACGACCAGCCACACUGGAACUGAGACACGGUCCAGACUCCUACGGGAGGCAGCAGUGGGGAAUUUUGGACAAUGGGCGAAAGCCUGAUCCAGCAAUGCCGCGUGAGUGAAGAAGGCCUUCGGGUUGUAAAGCUCUUUUGUCAGGGAAGAAACGGUGAGAGCUAAUAUCUCUUGCUAAUGACGGUACCUGAAGAAUAAGCACCGGCUAACUACGUGCCAGCAGCCGCGGUAAUACGUAGGGUGCAAGCGUUAAUCGGAAUUACUGGGCGUAAAGCGUGCGCAGGCGGUUUUGUAAGUCUGAUGUGAAAUCCCCGGGGCUCACCUGNGAAUUGCAUUGGAGACUGCAAGGCUAGAAUCUG
rnacentral:rRNA from 1 species